rnacentral:rRNA from 1 species
GGGAUGAUGUCAAGUCAUCAUGGCCCUUAUGGAGUGGGCUCCACACGUGCUACAAUGGUGGCUACAAUGGGCUGCAAAGUCGCGAGGCUAAGCUAAUCCCUUAAAAGCCAUCUCAGUUCGGAUUGUACUCUGCAACUCGAGUGCAUGAAGUUGGAAUCGCUAGUAAUCGUGGAUCAGCACGCCACGGUGAAUACGUUC